GCAAACUUGGUCAUUUAGAGGAAGUAAAAGUCGUAACAAGGUUUCCGUAGGUGAACCUGCGGAAGGAUCAUUAACACGUAUCCACGUAUCAACCCCUCUGUGAAAACGAAGAAACAGAAGGCGUGUUCUGAGUGUGUCGUCGGUUGUCCUAAUGAUGGCGGGGUUAACCUUUCGAGGUUGGCUUCGGGGACACAUAACCACGGCAUGCGUUCGAGGAAUCGCCGCUUUUUUCCCAUCAUUAGCCCUUUUUACUAUUUUUAACCCCUUGUACUUCUUAUGUACUGAACCAAUUCUUUCGAUGCUCUCACAAGGAGCGACGAAAAGAUAUUACGAAACUAAAAGAACAACUCUUAGCAACGGAUAUCUUGGUUCCCGCAUCGAUGAAGAACGCAGC
rnacentral:misc_RNA from 1 species